AAUUUCGUUUUUUUUUAGUUUUUCUCGAAAUAUGUAUGUAUGUAUGUAAGAUAUAUAAAGGUGUGCAUAUCAAAUCAAUUGCCUUUCCAACCAUAUCCACAUUUUGAAAUUCGGUACAAUAGUUUUCGAAAUAUAAGAUUUUGAAAAUAUU